CGGACAGUGUCUGGUGGGUAGUUUGACUGGGGCGGUCUCCUCCUAAAGAGUAACGGAGGAGCACGAAGGUUGGCUAAUCCUGGUCGGACAUCAGGAGGUUAGUGCAAUGGCAUAAGCCAGCUUGACUGCGAGCGUGACGGCGCGAGCAGGUGCGAAAGCAGGUCAUAGUGAUCCGGUGGUUCUGAAUGGAAGGGCCAUCGCUCAACGGAUAAAAGGUACUCCGGGGAUAACAGGCUGAUACCGCCCAAGAGUUCAUAUCGACGGCGGUGUUUGGCACCUCGAUGUCGGCUCAUCACAUCCUGGGGCUGAAGUAGGUCCCAAGGGUAUGGCUGUUCGCCAUUUAAAGUGGUACGCGAGCUGGGUUUAGAACGUCGUGAGACAGUUCGGUCCCUAUCUGCCGUGGGCGCUGGAGAACUGAGGGGGGCUGCUCCUAGUACGAGAGGACCGGAGUGGACGCAUCACUGGUGUUCGGGUUGUCAUGCCAAUGGCACUGCCCGGUAGCUAAAUGCGGAAGAGAUAAGUGCUGAAAGCAUCUAAGCACGAAACUUGCCCCGAGAUGAGUUCUCCCUGAGACUUAGAGUCUCCUGAAGGAACGUUGAAGACGACGACGUUGAUAGGCCGGGUGUGUAAGCGCAGCGAUGCGUUGAGCUAACCGGUACUAAUGAACCGUGAGGCUUAACCUUACA
rnacentral:rRNA from 6 species